rnacentral:rRNA from 1 species
CAGCAGCCGCGGGAAUACGGAGGGGGCUAGCGUUGUUCGGAAUUACUGGGCGUAAAGCGCACGUAGGCGGACUGGAAAGUCAGAGGUGAAAUCCCAGGGCUCAACCUUGGAACUGCCUUUGAAACUAUCAGUCUGGAGUUCGAGAGAGGUGAGUGGAAUUCCGAGUGUAGAGGUGAAAUUCGUAGAUAUUCGGAGGAACACCAGUGGCGAAGGCGGCUCACUGGCUCGAUACUGACGCUGAGGUGCGAAAGCGUGGGGAGCAAACAGGAUUAGAUACCCCAGUAGUCCCUGUCUCUUAUAC